GGCCCCGUAGCUCAGAUGGAUAGAGCGACGGUUUCCUAAACCGCAGGUCGGCGGUUCGACUCCGCCCGGGGCCUCCA
rnacentral:tRNA from 1 species